rnacentral:rRNA from 1 species
CAGCAGCCGCGGGAAUACGGAGGGUGCAAGCGUUAAUCGGAAUUACUGGGCGUAAAGCGCACGCAGGCGGUCUGUCAAGUCAGAUGUGAAAUCCCCGGGCUUAACCUGGGAACUGCAUUUGAAACUGGCAGGCUAGAGUCUUGUAGAGGGGGGUAGAAUUCCAGGUGUAGCGGUGAAAUGCGUAGAGAUCUGGAGGAAUACCGGUGGCGAAGGCGGCCCCCUGGACAAAGACUGACGCUCAGGUGCGAAAGCGUGGGGAGCAAACAGGAUUAGAGACCCGCGUAGUCCCUGUCUCUUAUAC